AUAAAUAGAUAUAGUGCAGUGCGUUUUUUCCCUCUUUUUUUUUGCUCGUCAACCUCGGUAGCGGUGCCCCGCGAAAAAAAAAAUUUCCGAGGUGUGCCCCGACCCGAAAAAGGUUGGGAAACACUGCACUAACCUUACACACACGCUGUGAGUACACAGCGUGUGAGCUGCGGGGACGAGAUCCACUAAAGGCCGGCGUGAUGACGUCACAUCAUCGCGCCGGCGCCUGGAGGACCCGUCCCUGCGGCCUGCAUACUGUAAGUAAGGGUAUGCUCAGGGUCCAGGGGAUUAUGGAAACAGGAUAUGCGCCACUGUUAGGAGGAGGGGGGUCAGAGAAAAGGGAAUAUUUAAUGAGGGUCUGCAGCAGGGACGUGCACACAUAGGAGUGAAAGGGGGCUGGAGCCCCUGCCCUUUUCCUCACCUGCCCCUCUAGUGCCCUCACAAAAGGAGGUGCAGACUCAGGCUGACAAGUGAAGUAAAAAGGAUCCAUUGCUGGAGAUUUGUAUGUGGUUUAAUGGAGGGUGCUGUGCCCUCCCUGCAGCAAGGGGGCGCCACUCACCCUGUCAUUAUCUGCCAUUUCUUUGCUUCUCUCCACACGGAGGAGACAGGAGCAGAGGAGGCAGAGGGAGGCCCCGCCCACAACAUGUCCGGCCACAAACCAGUCUAAGCAGCCCUUACUAGGAUCAGAAUGCAUUGGCAUAGUGAGGAGACGUCUGGGCAUCAAGUUCUGCAGAGAGAAGUUUUAGCUGGAACAAAUCCUGGCGCCAAUCAGAGAGCAGCACUACAGAAAUAGAACUCCCAGGAGUGAGGGGCCGGUGCUGGACACUGUGUAGGGACGCGGGAAUGCAAAGUCAUACACAUGACUGUGACUGAUGCACUAUUUCCAGGACAUGGAGUAGCAUUUCCGGACCUACAGCAAGACGUUGGAUGAAGGCAUAGCCCCAGAAAUAACACUGGUCCUGUUCAUCAGUGAGGGGCCGGUGCUGGACACUGUGUAGGGACACGGGAAUGCAAAGUCAUGCACAUGACUGUGACUGAUGCACUAUUUCCAGGACAUGGAGUAGCAUUUCGGGACCUACAGCAAGACGUUGGAUGAAGGCACAGGCCUAGGAAUCAUGCACAUACACAGAAACAUUUGCCCAAAUUCUAGAGGUAACCUCCUUUAGUAUGCCCAGAGGAAGGGCCAUACAGUAGCCAUGGAUUCCCUACAGGUUUCCUCCCCUCUGGAGGUUUUUCCUGUCCUGAGUAUUAGUUACUGUACGCUCUUUGUGAGUGAUGGGAGGUUACAAAAAAUCCCCUACACAAACAUUUUAAUAAAUAAUAAAUAAAG